GAGGCCUCGCGCUCACCCUCUCUGGCCUGAGUCACUUUAACAAUCUGCAUGCGCAGCAGCUCAAUUUUAGUCCUACUGUCCUGCAGCAUCUGCUGGGCUGUGGACAGCAUCUUUCGGUCCUGGUGAGAAAGAUUGGCAUGCAGUUUAACAGCUCAUCAGUCAUCUUUGGUGGACUUUUAGACUCCUGAAUGGCAUCUCCUCUUUCCUUCACUCUCCCCAUCAGAUGUUCUCUCCUGCUCCUGGUGUCCUUCUAUCACCCCUACUCCUACCCGGUUACACUACUAGGCAGUUUGUGCCUUGAGCCAUGGUGCGGAGUUCUCAUCUUAUCUGACAUCACGGGCUGAAAAGCCAUUCCUCACCUUCUUAUUAUGGUUUAGUGUCCUUGCAUUCUGCCUCUCUCUCUGUCCCUCCCUCCCUCCCUGUUCUAUAGAGCUCAGUUCUCUUCUCACUCCUACCCUCUCUUUAGUAGUUAUAUAGCUGUGUACUGCUGCUGUUCUCUCCAGCUUGUCUAGCCCACAUCAGACAGCUACAGCAUUGGUUGUUUCAGAGUCACAUGGCCAAAUGCUGUCGCCAGGCCCAGGACAGGAGGUACGUGUUUAAGCCAUGGCACGUGCAUUCAGCUCCUGAAGCUCCCAGUGAAGCUGCUCCAGUUUGCGAGUUGAGGCGCGUAGUUGACCCUCCACAUCAGCGGCACUCUUCUUGUUGGUGACAGCACGCCGCAGCCGCUCCGCUGCCUCCUUGAUCUUCAGUUCUCGCUGGAUCUCCUGCCUCAGUAGGGACCGGGCGUCUUCAAGCUGCUGUUGGAACACCGGGUCAAGAAGGUCGCCCUCAGGAAGACUCCGCAAGCAGCCAGCCUACAAAAGAGUGUUCGAUAUCAAAAUAAUUCACACUGGAAACUUUUCACAUGAUUAAUAUGACCUUGAAUAUGUCCUUGAGUUAUAAGUUAAAUAAUCUUAGUGCCAUGACAGACACAGCCUGUGUCACAUGCUAAUUGCUGAUUAUCGCAUUUGAGCACACACACAUACAGUACAUAGGGGAAAAAGUGGUUAAUACCAAUAAUAUAAAAAAAUAUCAUCAAGAGAACAAAAUUUGCUGUUCUCUUUGGGUGAAAGGGGUCAAAUCUGUCUCUCUUCUGUCAAUCACAACAGUGAAACAUGGGGGUCUGUGAGCAGGCAGUUAUCACUUUAAAAUGAUGCAGCGCAGUGUCUCAGAGGAAGCAGCUGCAAGUCCUCGCCCUCCCUGUCUGGUAGACGUUGCAUUGUGGAGAGAGUUAGCUAGUGGGUGGAACAAAAUUAGGAGAGAAUUUCCUUUUUUUAAACCCUUUAUCAAACAUUUAAAAAGAAGCUUCCGGAAUAAACACUUUUAAACAAUAAGUUUCCCUUCUCUGGAAAGUGCUUAGGACAGAAGACUUGAGGGAGCUCAGUGAAGUGAAUUUAACUUUAAGAGAGAGGGGAAAAAGAGGGUGGGGAAGAAACGGGUAACAUAACAGGAAUUUACUUGUUCUGCACAUGUUCCAAAACAUGAAAUGUAACUACAAAAAUGGCCUCAAAUAAAAUUAAGGCGAGGCUUAUCACACUGAUAGUACUAUCUGAUGAAUUUAUAGUGUGAACCUGUAACAGGCAACUGAAGAUAAACAGCAUACAGACAUCCAGCGUAUAGCCUAGCAGCUCCUUUUGAUCAGUUUUAGACAAGCAGAUUUUAUCCUUCUUUUUUCAAGAGAAUGUGUGUACCAAGGCACACACAGGAAAGUUAAAAAUGAUUAACCAGGGUUGCCAAAUUUCAGCCAAAUAUCCAGCCCAAUUACAGCACACAAUCAAUCUGAAACCAGCACAAAGGCAUUGGAAUUUAUGCAUUGGAAAUGGAAGACAGCCUUUUUCCUUCUUUUUCCAAGCUUAUGCAUGUGAAACAAUGCUUUGCAGAAGAUUUUUCCCACUCCAUCAUCCUCCUUUCCCCUCUUGAACAACUACAACGAACAACGUCUUUUUUGAGAAAAUGUAUGAUUUCAUACCAUACACACACAUGAUAGAUAGACAGAUAGAUAAAACUCUACUUCAGUAGCCCCAAUAAUAUCUCAGUAACCGUGUAGUGUGAUAUAAUUUAUAAUGAUAAUAUUACUUCACAUGACUGUAGUUUAGAUUAUACGGUGUUAUCUAAAUAAUUUAUCAUUGGAAAGCUUCACUACAGUCAGUAAUUGAACCCAUAACACGUCUGAUCUUUUAACACGUCUAUGCAUUUUAAGGUUUAUCAUAUUGUGCGUGUUAAGGUGCAAGUCAAAAACAAAUCCUGCAAAUCACAGAAAAUCCCUGAGAGUGACUGAAGCUUAAAUAAUUAUUAGUUUCGUGUGUUUAAGCACAGAUUAUAAAUUUUAUGUUAUAGAAACAAAACUUUGACUGAGUAUAUAACGUCUGAUUCAAGAGUCAAGGGAAAAGUUAGAUAGUAAAGAGGCAGCAAGAACUGGUCAAACCUGUUAAACCUGAAACUCUGAACCUCUUAGUGAUGAUAGGACUGAAGAAAUACAGCCACAGACAGCGUAAAGGGAAAAACUCUGUGCUUCUCUUAAAUCGUACUGAAAUGAUUGUGAUUUAUCAUCAAAUUAUAGUUUGAGUUUUUUGUUGUUUUUGUCCAUCAUCCCAAGAGCAAAGAGGAAAAUCAUCUUCACUUGUGUCUACAAAAGGUCAUAUUAAUAAACAUGCUCAUCACACAAACAUAAUAAUAAUAAUAAUAAUAAUAAUAAUAAUAAAAGUAAAAAAAAGU